GAGCAGUAGUGAGUGGACACCAACACUUGGCCUGUGAAACUCCUGGAGCUUCAAGUGAAUUGCUUGGGAGGGGCUGGGGGGCCCUCUGUGAGCAACUGGUGAGAUGACCCUGAGCGGUGAUGGAAACACAGGUGAGCCGGAAGGCACGGUAGGUGCUGAGUGAGCUUGGACAAAGCCCCCAUGUGAUGAGACUCCCAAGCCGCCAGGUUCUGGAUGCCAGCAUGAUGCCGACCAGACUUCCCUGGACUGAAGACCCCACCAAUGUGUCCUGGAGCUGGACUUCCCCAGAGACCCACCCUACUAGGGAAAGAGAGAGGCAGAAUGGGAGUAUGGAUUGACCAGUCAACGUCCAUGUUCAGCGGGGAAGCAAUUACAGAAGCCAGACCUUCCACCUUCUGCAACCCACAACAACCCUGGGUCCAUG